AGCGAACGCUGGCGGCAGGCCUAAUACAUGCAAGUCGAACGGCUCUUCGGAGCAGUGGCGGACGGGUGAGUAACGCGUGGGAAUGUGCCCUUUGGUACGGAACAACACAGGGAAACUUGUGAUAAUACCGUAUUUUCCCUUCGGGGGAAAGAUUUAUCGCCAUUGGAGCAGCCCGCGUUGGAUUAGGUAGUUGGUGAGGUAAAGGCUCACCAAGCCUACGAUCCAUAGCUGGUCUGAGAGGAUGACCAGCCACACUGGGACUGAGACACGGCCCAGACUCCUACGGGAGGCAGCAGUAGGGAAUCUUGCGCAAUGGGCGAAAGCCUGACGCAGCCAUGCCGCGUGUAUGAUGAAGGUCUUAGGAUUGUAAAAUACUUUCACCGGGGAAGAUAAUGACGGUACCCGGAGAAGAAGCCCCGGCUAACUUCGUGCCAGCCGCCGCCGUAACAC
rnacentral:rRNA from 1 species